rnacentral:rRNA from 1 species
UACGAAGGGGGGCUAGCGUUGUUCGGAAUUACUGGGCGUAAAGCGCGCGCAGGCGGUUUCUCAAGUCAGUGGUGAAAGCCCGGAGCUCAACUCCGGAACUGCCAUUGAAACUGGCGAACUUGAGUACGAGAGAGGUGAGUGGAAUUCCCAGUGUAGAGGUGAAAUUCGUAGAUAUUGGGAAGAACACCAGUGGCGAAGGCGGCUCACUGGCCCGAUACUGACGCUGAGGCACGAAAGCGUGGGGAGCAAACAGG